UACAGAGGGGGCAAGCGUUGUUCGGAAUUACUGGGCGUAAAGGGCGCGUAGGCGGCCUUCUAAGUCGAACGUGAAAUCCCCGGGCUCAACCCGGGAACUGCGUCCGAUACUGGAAGGCUUGAAUCCGGGAGAGGGAUGCGGAAUUCCAGGUGUAGCGGUGAAAUGCGUAGAUAUCUGGAGGAACACCGGUGGCGAAGGCGGCAUCCUGGACCGGUACUGACGCUGAGGCGCGAAAGCGUGGGGAGCAAACAGG
rnacentral:rRNA from 1 species